rnacentral:rRNA from 1 species
CCCUUAGAUGUUCUGGGCUGCACGCGUGCUACACUGAUAUUGCCAAUAUGUCAUUCUUAUCCGAAAUGGAUUGGGUAAUCAAGUAAUGAAAUUUCAUGCUUGGAAUCGGUAAUUGCAAUUUUAUCGUGAACGAGGAAUUCCUAGUAAGCACUAGUCAUCAGCUAAUGUUGAUUAUGUCCCUGCCCUUUGUACACACCGCCCGUCGCUACUACUGAUUGGGUGUUCAAGUGAGAUGCUUAGACCCUUGUUGCAUGGUUCAUUAUUGUGCUCCGAAAGGAAAAAGUUUCAAGCUUGAGUGUCUAGAGGAAGGUGAAGUCGUAACA